CGCAGCCAGCGAGCUGCUUAAGCGCGACCUCGCGCAGCUGCGCGCCGAGCUGCUCGACCGCGACAACCGCAUCGUCGCCAUGGAGAUGCAGAGCCGGCAGGGAACAGCGGCGGCGCGGCCACGACGACGACGACGACGACGCAGCCUUUGUCCCCGUGCGCACGCGAGCAGAUGAAGAAGCUUCAGGAGCAGGUUGAGAAGAGCCUGAAGGACAAGGAGAAGCUGACGACUACGUGAAGGAGGUCAGGUCAAGUACAAGAAGCUCAAGGACGAGUACGUGACGAGCCGCAAGCGCUGCAAGCUGCUCGAGCAGGACGUGAGGAAGAUGGAGGAGGACACGAGCAGGGUGAGGAGAAGCGAGGCGCAAUGAGGUUCAACUGAGGAAGCCAGGGACAUGAAUGAAACGAUGAAGCUAGAGCUGACCAUGUAUGACAAGCUGGAGAGAACAUUGACACCAGGUAAAGCGUCGAGGCACGGUAAGGCCGGCGGCGGCCGAUGAUAGAAGCCGCCCGACCUCGCUCAGCUGCUCGCAGAGAUUCGCA